UCCCUGGUGACUCAAACAGUAAAGAGUCUGCCUGCAGUGCAGGAGACCCAGGUUCAAUCCCUGGGUCGGGAA
rfam:Ovis aries breed Texel chromosome 5, whole genome shotgun sequence.